rnacentral:rRNA from 1 species
AGUGAACGCUGGCGGUAGGCCUAACACAUGCAAGUCGAACGGCAGCACAGUAAGAGCUUGCUCUUACGGGUGGCGAGUGGCGGACGGGUGAGGAAUACAUCGGAAUCUACUUUUUCGUGGGGGAUAACGUAGGGAAACUUACGCUAAUACCGCAUACGACCUACGGUUGAAAGCAGGGGAUCUUCGGACCUUGCGCGAUUGAAUGAGCCGAUGUCGGAUUAGCUAGUUGGCGGGGUAAUGGCCCACCAAGGCGACGAUCCGUAGCUGGUCUGAGAGGAGGAUAAGCCACCCGGGAACUGGGACACGGUCCAUACUCCUACGAGAGGCAGCAGUGGGGAAUAUUAGACAAUGGGCGCAAGCCUGAUCCAGCCAGACCGCGUCGGUGAAGAAGGCCUCCGGGUUGUAAAGCCCUUCUGUUGGGAAAGAAAAGCAGCAGGUUAAUACCCCGCGGUUGUGACGGUACCCAAAGAAUAAGCACCGGCUAACUUCGUG